rnacentral:rRNA from 1 species
UCUACGGGUGGCAGCAGUGAGGAAUAUUGGUCAAUGGGCGCGAGCCUGAACCAGUCAAGUAGCGUGAAGGAUGACUGCCCUACGGGUUGUAAACUUCUUUUAUAAAGGAAUAAAGUGAGGCACGUGUGCCUUUUUGUAUGUACUUUAUGAAUAAGGAUCGGCUAACUCCGUGCCAGCAGCCGCGGUAAUACGGAGGAUCCGAGCGUUAUCCGGAUUUAUUGGGUUUAAAGGGAGCGUAGAUGGGUUGUUAAGUCAGUUGUGAAAGUUUGCGGCUCAACCGUAAAAUUGCAAUUGAUACUGGCAGCCUUGAGUACAGUUGAGGGAGGCGGAAUUCGUGGUGUAGCGGUGAAAUGCUUAGAGAUCACGAAGAACUCCGAUUGCGAAGGCAGCCUACUAAACUGCCACUGACAUUGAUGCUCGAAAGUGUGGGUAUCAAACAGGAUUAGAUACCCCUGUAGUC